rnacentral:rRNA from 1 species
GAUGAGCGCUGGCGGCGUGCCUAAUACAUGCAAGUCGAACGCACAGCGAAAGGUGCUUGCACCUUUCAAGUGAGUGGCGAACGGGUGAGUAACACGUGGACAACCUGCCUCAAGGCUGGGGAUAACAUUUGGAAACAGAUGCUAAUACCGAAUAAAACUCAGUGUCGCAUGACACAAAGUUAAAAGGCGCUUUGGCGUCACCUAGAGAUGGAUCCGCGGUGCAUUAGUUAGUUGGUGGGGUAAAGGCCUACCAAGACAAUGAUGCAUAGCCGAGUUGGAGGACUGAUCGGCGACAUUGGGACUGAGACACGGCCCAAACUCCUACGGGAGGCUGCAGUAGGGAAUCUUCCACAGUGGGCGAAAGCCUGAUGGAGCAACGCCGCGUGUGUGAUGAAGGCUUUCGGGUCGUAAAGCACUGUUGUAUGGGAAGAACAGCUAGAAUAGGGAAUGAUUUUAGUUUGACGGUACCAUACCAGAAAGGGACGGCUAAAUACGUGCCAGCAGCCGCGGUAA